AUUGAACGCUGGCGGCAGGCCUAACACAUGCAAGUCGAGCGAGCGGCGGACGGGUGAGUAAUGUCUGGGAAACUGCCUGAUGGAGGGGGAUAACUACUGGAAACGGUAGCUAAUACCGCAUACCAUCGGAUGUGCCCAGAUGGGAUUAGCUUGUAGGUGAGGUAACGGCGCACCUAGGCGACGAUCCCUAGCUGGUCUGAGAGGAUGACCAGCCACACUGGAACUGAGACACGUGCCAGCCUCCUACGGGAGGCAGCAGUGGGGAAUAUUGCACAAUGGGCGCAAGCCGGAUGCAGUCAGGCCGCGUGUAUGAAGAAGGCCUUCGGGUUGUAAAGUACUUUCAGCGGGGAGGCGUUACCCGCAGAAGAAGCACCGGCUAACUCCGUGCCAGCAGCCGCGGUAAUUC
rnacentral:rRNA from 1 species